rnacentral:lncRNA from 1 species
AAAAUAUUAAAUUUGAUGACUACUGUAAUAUCUUUUUUAGGCAAUCUUAUUUGUUUCAAAGCUUGGUGAUCUCAUUUACUUUACAUCUCAGGGUUCUCCAGACUCCACUGAGAUUCUCUCUUAAGCUCUACUUCUGCAUGUGAAAUUCCAUUUGAACAUAUAAACUAAUCUUAAAUGUAGUGUUUCUAAAAUAAGCUCUUGAUCUUCUUUCUUUUCUCCCAAGCCUCCUCAGACGAAUAGACAUAGAGAUUGCUGGUGGUGGCCUGUGUCUGAUCUCUAGUUGAUGGAAUAUGAACAGAAGCCAUGGACACCCCUUCCACAUCUGGCCAUGUCAUACCAUCUUCCUGGCCCACAGCAAACCAAUAGACUACUGUCACCACUGCCACCACCACCAAAACAGGUACUCUAAUGUGAAUCAAUUGCAUUGAAGGUCACAAUUAACAGCCUCCCUGUGUCCAUGGCCUUUACAGUGUGACCUUGCAGAUUCUUCCUUCAAGAGGUAAAUCUAUUUCCUUGCUCCAUGUGCCUGGUCUAACUGUGAUUUGCUUUGGCCUAUUAGAAUGUGGCACAGAUCACACUGUGC